rnacentral:rRNA from 1 species
GUAUAAAUGGUAUACAAUGAAACUGCGAAUGGCUCAUUAAAACAGUUAUAGUUUAUUUGGUAACCAAACUUACAUGGAUAACCGUGGUAAUUCUAGAGCUAAUACAUGCUGUCAAGCCCGACUCACGAAGGGCCGUAUUUAUUAGAUAUCAGCCAAUAAGCAUCUGCUAUUGUGGUGACUCAUAGUAACUUAAUCGGAUCGCAUGGGCUUGCCCCGCGACAAACCAUUCAAGUUUCUGCCCCAUCAUGCUUUCGAUGGUAGUGUAUUGGACUACCAUGGCUUUCACGGGUAACGGAGGAUUAGGGUUCGAUUCCGGAGAGGGAGCCUGAGAAACGGCUACCACUUCCACGGAAGGCAGCAGGCGCGUAAAUUACCCAAUCCUGACUUAGGGAGGUAGUGACAAGAAAUAAUGGGUCGGGGUUUUGCCCCGGGACUGCAAUGAGACGAAUUUAGACCCCUUAUCGAGGACCAAUUGGAGGGCAAGUCUGGUGCCAGCAGCCGCGGUAAUUCCAGCUCCAAUAGCGUAUAUUAAAGUUGUUGCAGUUAAAAAGCUCGUAGUUGGAUUUCUGGUUAAAGGUUAGAGCGCACCUGUGUGAGGCUCGAGUCUUUUGCCAUCCUUCUGUUAACCUUUCAUGACAUUCAUUUGUCGGUUUGGGGCUCAGAUAUUUUACCUUGAGAAAAUUAGAGUGUUUCAGGCAGGCUUGUGCCCGGAUACAUUAGCAUGGAAUAAUAGAACAGGACUUUAGCCUCUUCUGUUGGUUU